UCGAAGAAAGGAAUGAGACUGAGUAUAGCGAAAGGCUAGGGAUGGGCAUCCUGCCCAGUAGACGGUAACUGAGGUGGUCGUUGUAGGGUACCUGGGGGCUCCAUGUGCGUCCUGUCGCUGCUUGGAGCUGUUACACCUAUGUAGCGGCCAUCAAAGUGGAGGCCCUCUCUUGAGCCUGAAUGAGAAAGUGCUUCCACUUUGUGUGCCACUGCAUGGGGAAAACAUCAUAGCUUUGCAUCUGACGCAUCGGUUUACAGGAGCGGACAACCUGUGUGGGGGUUUAGGCUUGGAGUUUAAUGGGUCCUAUCCUAAAGAGGGCGGUUCAGUUGGGUGCCACGAGACGCGGAUGGAUGUAAGGCAGUCGUGAGUCCAGGUGCAUUGUAGAUUGUUCUUAAGCUUGACCUCCAGCCUGUGAUACUCAAACUGGGGGCUCUUUUGGAUUUUCAUCGGAAGAAAAGUGCCGCCAGGUUUUGAGUGUCACCGGUUGAGAACUCAAAACGGCUAAGAACUAAGAAUUAAGUUUUAGUGGGUCAUGUUUUCACUGGGGUUGCAUUUCUGGGCAGGUGGGUGUCACAUGUGGGUUUGAGUCCGAACACUUGGGCGCAUGCGGUACUAAAGGCUUUCCGCGUUCAUAAAGGAGCCGGGAUCCCACAUGGGCCUCGCUCGGAGGAGCUGAGCCUCAGGUCUUGGAAGUUGGAACAUACAGUGUCGAUCAAAGUGGAGGCCCUCUCCGCGGCUUGGCGGGAAAGUGCAUCCAUUUUGUUUGUCUCUGUGUGUACAUGGCGUCUGAAAAGCCGGCUGCAGCUGCAACCUGGAAUCGCUUACCUGCUUGAAACAGGUAUGUGUGCUGGAGGUGAAUUCGUUGCCACUGGCUACUCGAGCUGCAAGGCUGGAGGUGAGGAGGAAGCAGGGCAGGGUGGAAGGAGGCACUCCAGGUCCAGGGGUGGUGAGUCUAAGCCUCAGGUCUGAGUAAAGAAAGGCCUACUUUUAAAUCUCACGUGGCCGCCAUAUUAAGUCCUCUUUCAAUUUUUUUCCUUUUUCUCCAAACAGGGUUUCUCUGUAGCCCUGGCUGUCCUGGAGCUAACUCACUUGUAGACCAGCCUGGCCUCAGCUCCAUCCACCUGGGAUUAAAAGAUCCUAUAUAUCUUGCUUGACUACUGUAGUUGCUAUAUCUUGCUUGACUACUGUAGUUGGACUGAUGGUUGUGAGUCUUGAUAUGGUUGGAUUGAAUUUUUAGGACCUGCUGGCUGUAGCUGACUUUAACCUGGCUCCUAGCACAAACAAGCUUGGUGGACAGCCGGGUAGAUAAUACCCAUAAUACCUUUUGGCUUUACAAUAGCCCAGGCUCAUGAGGGCUGGGAUUACAGGUGUUACAUUGUGUGCCCUAAGCAUAAUCUUCAUGGAUUCUCUUUGUUUUUCAGGUGUUCCAGUUGAGUUGAAUGUAAUCCUGCCUAGCCUGGGGUACUUACUUGCCUUCAACCUGCCUGGCUGGCUGGUCUGGCUAAGAACUGACUAUAAAGUUUCAGGUUUAUUACCACAGCAGGUCCCUGUGGAAAUGCUUCAAUCUGUGGUACUCAAACUGUGUGACAUUUUGUUCUUUGUAAGAAGUGCCGCAGAGUUUGUAGUGUUGCCGAUUGAGAAACUGCAGUUGGCCUAAGUGUUGCAUCAUUUGGGUGUCAUCUGUGGGUAUGAUUCAGUCUGUAAUGGGGCAAAAGUAAAAGCUGAGGUGCACGGAACCUCACGGGAAGUGACCCAGAUUUGACAGGUACUGUAUUACAUAUAGCUGCAUUUAUCCUUUUGGCAUUGAAUAAUCCUUAAUCUUCAGUUCAGUUGUAGGCAUGUUUGGAUCUAGCGAAAUUCCAUAUAGCCAUACUCAAAAUGGAGGCCCUAUCUAAGCUUUUAAGUGGAAAGUGCUUCCCUUUUGUGUGUUGCCAUGUGGAGAAAGCAUCGGAACUUCAAUCAACCAGAGACUCCUUGCUUGCUCAUCUUGGUGAGACUCAAAUGUGGGGCACACUUCUGGACUGUACAUAGAAAGUGCUACUACUUUUGAGUCUCUCCUGUGGGCACCAUUCACAGGUCGGCUGCUUUCAUGCAUGUGUAGUGUGUAUCUGAAUCCAGAUGAAGGUUUCCUGGAACUGGGACAUGUGGGUGCUAUUGAAUGAACCAAGGUGCUAUGGGAGCAACCAGUGCCCUCAGCCUCCAAACAUGAAUAAUAAAGUCUUGUUCUCUUGA